rnacentral:rRNA from 1 species
GACGAACGCUGGCGGCGUGCUUAACACAUGCAAGUCGAGCGGUAAGGCCCUUUCGGGGGUACGACGAGCGGCGAACGGGUGAGUAACACGUGGGUGACCUGCCCUCAGCUCUGGGAUAAGCCUGGGAAACUGGGUCUAAUACUGGAUAUGACUCCACGGUGCAUGUCGUGGGGUGGAAAGCCUUGUGCGGCUGAGGAUGGGCCCGCGGCCUAUCAGCUUGUUGGUGGGGGAUGGCCUACCAAGGCGACGACGGGUAGCCGGCCUGAGAGGGCGACCGGCCACACUGGGACUGAGACACGGCCCAGACUCCUACGGGAGGCAGCAGUGGGGAAUCUUGCGCAAUGGGCGAAAGCCUGACGCGAAGCGACGCCGCGUGAGGGAUGACGGCCUGGU